rnacentral:tRNA from 1 species
GGGCCUAUAGCUCAGUUGGUAGAGCUUCCGGCUCAUAACCGGCCUGUCCCAGGUUCAAAUCCUGGUGGGCCCACCA